rnacentral:rRNA from 1 species
GCAAGGGGAGCGGCAGACGGGUGAGUAACGCGUGGGAAUCUACCCAAUGGUACGGAAUAACUCAGGGAAACUUGAGCUAAAACCGGAUACGUCCGAAAGGAGAAAGAUUAUCGCUGAAGGAUCGGCCCGCGUCUGAUUAGCUAGUUGGUGGGGUAAUGGCCCACCAAGGCGACGAUCAGUAGCUGGUCUGAGAGGAUGAUCAGCCUCACUGGGACUGAGACACGGCCCAGACUCCUACGGGAGGCAGCAGUGGGGAAUAUUGGACAAUGGACGCAAGCCUGAUCCAGCCAUGCCGCGUGGGUGAUGAAGGCCCUAGGG